rnacentral:rRNA from 1 species
GAUGAACGCUGGCGGCGUGCCUAAUACAUGCAAGUCGAGCGAACAGACGAGGAGCUUGCUCCUCUGACGUUAGCGGCGGACGGGUGAGUAACACGUGGAUAACCUACCUAUAAGACUGGGAUAACUUCGGGAAACCGGAGCUAAUACCGGAUAAUCUAUUCAACCGCAUGGUUCAAUAGUGAAAGACGGUUUUGCUGUCACUUAUAGAUGGAUCCGUGCCGCAUUAGCUAGUUGGUAAGGUAACGGCUUACCAAGGCGACGAUGCGUAGCCGACCUGAGAGGGUGAUCGGCCACACUGGAACUGAGACACGGUCCAGACUCCUACGGGAGGCAGCAGUAGGGAAUCUUCCGCAAUGGGCGAAAGCCUGACGGAGCAACGCCGCGUGAGUGAUGAAGGUCUUCGGAUCGUAAAACUCUGUUAUUAGGGAAGAACAAAUGUGUAAGUAACUAUGCACGUCUUGACGGUACCUAAUCAGAAAGCCACGGCUAACUACGUG